rnacentral:tRNA from 1 species
GCGCCGGUGAGCUAGCAUCCUGCCCGGAAAGCAGAGGAUGUGGGUUUGAGUCCCUCCCGGCGCU